rnacentral:rRNA from 1 species
AUGGGUGGAGGCCACGACAUGCACGGCAGCCCCAACGGCGGCGUGAAGGGCUUCGUGUCCAGCCUCGUCGGCGGCGGCAAAGGCCACGGCUACGGGUCAUCAUACGGCCAGGGGCACGGCUACGGCGGCGGCCAUGUACAGGGCUACCAGCAGGGAUACGGCGGGCAUGGACAGAGCUACGAGCACGGUUACGGCGGACAUGCGCAGCACGGACACGGCGGCUACGAGCAUGGGUAUGGCGGCGGGCAUGUGCAGCAGGGACACGGGCACGGGUACGGCGGACACGGGCAGCAGCACGGAUACGGCGGCGGCCACGCGCAGCUCGGGUACCCUCCCGCUGCCGGCGCCUACCCUCCGCACGGGGGCUACCAGGCGCACGGCUACGCGCCGGCGGCCUACCCUUCUCACGGGGCGCACCAGGGUCACAUGGGAUCGUACCACACCGGGCAUGGCGGCGGGCACCACCACGGCGGCAAGUACCACGGCGGCAAGUACAACGGCGGCAAGCACGGCAGUAAGUGGAUCAGGUGA